rnacentral:rRNA from 1 species
GUGCAGCAGUCGAGAAACUUCACAAUGUGCGAAAGCACGAUGAGGGAAUCCCAAGUGCUUGCUCGUAAGAGUAAGCUGUUUCUCUGUCUAAAACGCAGAGAGAGUAAGGGCUGGGUAAGACGGGUGCCAGCCGCCGCGGUAAUACCUGCAGCUCGAGUGGUGGCCGCUAUUAUUGGGCCUAAAACGUCCGUAGCCGGUUUACUAAAUGCCUGGGUAAAUCGGACCGCUUAACGGUUCGAAUUCCGGGUAGACUGAUAAACUUGAGACCGGGAGAAGCUAGAGGUACUCCUGGGGUAGAGGUGAAAUUCUGUAAUCCUAGGGGGACCACCAGUGGCGAAGGCGUCUAGCUAGAACGGGUCUGACGGUGAGGGACGAAGCCC